GAAGUCGCCGUAUCACCACCUGGAACUAUCUUUAAACCGACACUGAAGCAGCCAGAAGAUUCGGAAGAGACAAAGAAAGAGCCUAAUGCUUUGCAAGAAUCGAGUGAACCGACAUCCAAGGAGGAAGAGUUAUCCCCAGAACCUGCAUUGCAGGAGGAAGUCCACAGCGAUGAAAGUGAGAAGGAGACUCAAUCGAGCGAGCAGGGGACGCCAAAUACAGUGGAGGAAGCUACCUCUAGUUCUGACGACAAUCAGAGCUCAUCAACUUCUAC
rnacentral:misc_RNA from 1 species